UCCAUCAAAAGAAAAUUCGAUUUGUUAUUCAGUGAAAGUUUAAAUUAGAAGGGUUGGACUAGCAGUGGAACUAAGCUAUGAAGUUUAGAAGAAUAGUUUAUUUUUAUGACUGCCCUAAAAAGUAGUAUCUAUAUAAUUUAAUUCCUCUAAAUUAAAUGGAGUAACUACUAUGAUUAAGCACCUUUUAAGAGGGUGCCUUAGUCCCAUUUUGGACUGCACUGUGGACAGCACUGUCUUCUCCAUCAUUUACCUGGUCUAGUAAUCCCACUAACGAGUCCCAAUCCACUCCCCACGUGUGCUCAGUUUGUUUAUUUUGCUGUCGCUACUUCAAAAUGCACAAAUUGACAAAAAUUGCGCCAUCUGUGGGCUUCAGAAUGGAUGGGUUUACGUAUUUCCCGCCUCCACCAAAUAUAUUCAUAGUCCCCCCAAAAGCCCGCUUGCCUCGUUCUUUGCUGUUUGCCAUUCGCUGACUUUGGCAAUAUUUUCAGCUACCUCGCAUCGGCAUCACAUCAAAUGGGAAAUUGUCAACAUUAAGUGGCAGGCAAUAAAAGUGGCAGCCAGGGACCUGCCGAGGGGUAAUUGAAUUUCUGGCUGCAUCCAGCCUUAUUCACAAAAAAUCGGAAAUAAUAAUACAUUUCGAUGGGAACGAAAGGAGCUGGUUCAUUUGCGAUAAGCUAGAAAGGAAGUUGCUUCCAAAAUGUCUACAAUUGCAAUUCAAAAUUUAUUUUAUGCAGUAGGCUUAGUAAUCACUCUAUGAAUAAAAAUUAUUUGGUACAAAAAAUAUAUAUAGAAUGAGACUAUUUUAUAUUGUUACCGCACUAUCAUUAAUCGUAAUGGAAUUUGAUGGCUCCUCAUCCCAGGAUGUUAAAUACUGUGUAGAUUGUGCCGAUUUUCUUAAAGAGAAUUGUCAAAUUGGUCGAACUGGAUAUAGUUGCAUAAAAUUCCGACCUCCUAAUAUAAAGGACGUUGAAUCGAAGUAUACGCCAUCGAAAACGACCAAUUUGAGCGUUUGUGUACCCGACGAUCUAACCAUAACCGAAACGGAUUAUAAAAUAUGCUGUGUAUGGUCACCGCAUCGGGGCUGCCAAAUUUUAAUUGAUUCGCGUGUACCAUCUAUUCGAUGUCAGACUUGCCUUGAGGCUGAAAAAAUGUAUAAGGAUAUUACUCCGUGUCCUUGCAUGAGACGCAUACCCACAGACCAUAUGGAGAGUGGAAGCCUUGCUACACUGAAUAGCACCACUAUAUCAUUUUUAGUACUAUUUUACUUUAUUAAUGUUAUAUGAUAAAUAAUUUUGGAAUGAAAA